AGAGUUUGAUCCUGGCUCAGGACGAACGCUGGCGGCGUGCUUAACACAUGCAAGUCGAGCGAUGAAGCUUCCUUCGGGAAGUGGAUUAGCGGCGGACGGGUGAGUAACACGUGGGUAACCUGCCUCAAAGUGGGGGAUAGCCUUCCGAAAGGAAGAUUAAUACCGCAUAAUAUAAGAGAAUCGCAUGAUUUUUUUAUCAAAGAUUUAUUGCUUUGAGAUGGACCCGCGGCGCAUUAGCUAGUUGGUAAGGUAACGGCUUACCAAGGCAACGAUGCGUAGCCGACCUGAGAGGGUGAUCGGCCACAUUGGAACUGAGACACGGUCCAGACUCCUACGGGAGGCAGCAGUGGGGAAUAUUGCGCAAUGGGGGAAACCCUGACGCAGCAACGCCGCGUGGGUGAUGAAGGUCUUCGGAUUGUAAAGCCCUGUUUUCUAGGACGAUAAUGACGGUACUAGAGGAGGAAGCCACGGCUAACUACGUGCCAGCAGCCGCGGUAAUACGUAGGUGGCGAGCGUUGUCCGGAUUUACUGGGCGUAAAGGGUGCGUAGGCGGAUGUUUAAGUGGGAUGUGAAAUCCCCGGGCUUAACCUGGGGGCUGCAUUCCAAACUGGAUAUCUAGAGUGCAGGAGAGGAAAGCGGAAUUCCUAGUGUAGCGGUGAAAUGCGUAGAGAUUAGGAAGAACACCAGUGGCGAAGGCGGCUUUCUGGACUGUAACUGACGCUGAGGCACGAAAGCGUGGGUAGCAAACAGGAUUAGAUACCCUGGUAGUCCACGCCGUAAACGAUGGAUACUAGGUGUAGGGGGUAUCAACUCCCCCUGUGCCGCAGUUAACACAAUAAGUAUCCCGCCUGGGGAGUACGGUCGCAAGAUUAAAACUCAAAGGAAUUGACGGGGGCCCGCACAAGCAGCGGAGCAUGUGGUUUAAUUCGAAGCAACGCGAAGAACCUUACCUGGACUUGACAUCCCUUGCAUAGCCUAGAGAUAGGUGAAGCCCUUCGGGGCAAGGAGACAGGUGGUGCAUGGUUGUCGUCAGCUCGUGUCGUGAGAUGUUAGGUUAAGUCCUGCAACGAGCGCAACCCUUGUUAUUAGUUGCUACCAUUAAGUUGAGCACUCUAAUGAGACUGCCUGGGUAACCAGGAGGAAGGUGGGGAUGACGUCAAAUCAUCAUGCCCCUUAUGUCCAGGGCUACACACGUGCUACAAUGGUAGGUACAAUAAGACGCAAGACCGUGAGGUGGAGCAAAACUUAUAAAACCUAUCUCAGUUCGGAUUGUAGGCUGCAACUCGCCUACAUGAAGCUGGAGUUGCUAGUAAUCGCGAAUCAGAAUGUCGCGGUGAAUACGUUCCCGGGCCUUGUACACACCGCCCGUCACACCAUGAGAGCUGGUAACACCCGAAGUCCGUGAGGUAACCGUAAGGAACCAGCGGCCGAAGGUGGGAUUAGUGAUUGGGGUGAAGUCGUAACAAGGUAGCCGUAGGAGAACCUGCGGCUGGAUCACCUCC
rnacentral:rRNA from 2 species